AGAGUUUGAUCCUGGCUCAGGACGAACGCUGGCGGCGUGCCUAACACAUGCAAGUCGAACGAGGUUCAUUCAGUAGCAAUACUGGAGAAGACCAAGUGGCGAACGGGUGAGUAGCACGUGAGCAACCUACCCCGAAGACCGGGACAACACCGGGAAACCGGUGCUAAUACUGGAUAUCCCCAUCCGGAUCGCAUGGUUUGAUGAGGAAAUGGAUUCCGCUUCGGGAGGGGCUCGCGGCCUAUCAGCUAGUUGGUGAGGUAACGGCUCACCAAGGCUUCGACGGGUAGCUGGUCUGAGAGGACGAUCAGCCACACUGGGACUGAGACACGGCCCAGACUCCUACGGGAGGCAGCAGUGGGGAAUCUUGCACAAUGGGCGACAGCCUGAUGCAGCAACGCCGCGUGAGGGACGAAGGCUUUCUGAGUUGUAAACCUCUUUCA
rnacentral:rRNA from 1 species